rnacentral:rRNA from 1 species
AAUGAACGCUGGCGGCAUGGAUUAGGCAUGCAAGUCGAACGGGGCGCCUUCGGGCGCCCAGUGGCGAAAGGGUGAGUAACACGUGAGCAACCUGCCCCCGAGUCCGGAAUAAGCGGUGGAAACGCCGUCUAAUGCCGGAUGAGGAGCUGGGCCUCCUGGCCCCGUUUCCAAAGAUUCAUCGCUUGGGGAUGGGCUCGCGCCCCAUUAGCUUGUUGGCGGGGUAACUGCCCACCAAGGCUACGACGGGUAGGUGGUCUGAGAGGAUGGUCACCCACACUGGGACUGAGACACUGCCCAGACUCCUACGGGAGGCUGCAGUCGAGAAUCUUCCGCAAUGGGCGCAAGCCUGACGGAGCGAUGCCGCGUGAGGGAAGAAUGCCUUCGGGUUGUAAACCUCUGUCACCCGGGACGAAGACAAUGACGGUACCGGGGGAGGAAGUCACGGCUAACUACGUG